UACGGAGGGUGCAAGCGUUAUCCGGAUUCACUGGGUUUAAAGGGAGCGUAGGCGGAUAGGUAAGUCAGUGGUGAAAUCCUGCAGCUUAACUGCAGAACUGCCGUUGAUACUAUCUAUCUUGAAUGUCGUUGAGGUUUGCGGAAUAGGUCAUGUAGCGGUGAAAUGCAUAGAUAUGACCUGGAACACCUAUUGCGAAGGCAGCAGGCUAAACGAAUAUUGACGCCGAGGCUCGAAAGCGUGGGGAUCAAACAGG
rnacentral:rRNA from 1 species